UACAGAGGUCCCAAGCGUUGUUCGGAUUCACUGGGCGUAAAGGGUGCGUAGGCGGUCGGGUAAGUCUGACGUGAAAUCUUCAAGCUUAACUUGGAAACUGCGUCGGAUACUAUUCGGCUUGAGGAGUGGAGGGGAGACUGGAAUACUUGGUGUAGCAGUGAAAUGCGUAGAUAUCAAGUGGAACACCAGUGGCGAAGGCGAGUCUCUGGACAUUUCCUGACGCUGAGGCACGAAAGCCAGGGGAGCAAACGGG
rnacentral:rRNA from 1 species